rnacentral:sRNA from 1 species
AGAAACCCUCCUCCCCUCCCAGCCUCAGGUGCCUGCUUCAGAAAAUGAAGUAGUAAGUCUGCUGGCCUCCGCCAUCUUAGUAAAGUAACUGUCCCAUGAAAGAAAGAUGCAGUCGGGCACUCGCUGGAGAGUUCUGGGCCUCUGCCUCUUAUCAGUUGGCGUUUGGGGGCAAGAUGGUAAUGAAGAAAUGGGUGGUAUUACACAGACACCAUAUAAAGUCUCCAUCUCUGGAACCACAGUAAUACUAACAUGCCCUCAGUAUCCUGGAUCUGAAAUACUAUGGCAACACAAUGAUAAAAACAUAGAAAGUGAUGAGGAUCACCUGUCACUGACGGGAUUUUCAGAAUUGGAGCAAAGUGGUUAUUAUGUCUGCUACCCCAAAGGAAGCAAACCAGAAGAUGCGAGCUUUUAUCUCUACCUGAGGGCGAGAGGUAAUCCAGGUCUCCAGAACAGGCACCACUGGCUCUUUAGGGAGGACCAUUCAAAAGGGCAUUCUCAAUGAUUUCCCCUAACCCAGCUCACAGUGCCCAGGCGUCUUUGCGCUUCCUCCCACACUCAAUCCCGAGACUCUCUGGUACCACACAGCAUCAGUGUUUCCUGGAAUAUAGAUUAAACACCAAUAUGAGGCCUCUGGGUAACCCCAGUGUGUGCGAGAUCUAAAAUAGCAACUCCCUAAGAGACAGGACUGCGUCACACCCAGGUUCAUGGCACACCAACAUGAGCAUGCCAUGUUGUGGCACAUGGAACCUCCAGAGAUAAAUUUUUCAGAAAGGUUUGCAAAAAAGACUCAAGGCCACUAUAGUAAAAUGGCAUAAGCUAAGGUAUAAUAAUAAAAUAAUAACAAUACUUAACAUUUAUUGAGUGCUUAUUAAGUCUCAAGCACUCUCUGUACCCAACACUUA